rnacentral:rRNA from 1 species
GUAGGGGGCUAGCGUUGUUCGGAAUCAUUGGGCGUAAAGCGCGUGUAGGCGGUCCGGUAAGUCCGCUGUGGAAGUCGGGGGCUCAACCCUCGGAUGCCGGUGGAUACUGUCGGGCUUGAGUACGGAAGAGGCGAGUGGAAUUCCUGGUGUAGCGGUGAAAUGCGCAGAUAUCAGGAGGAACACCAAUUGCGAAGGCAGCUCGCUGGGACGUUACUGACGCUGAGACGCGAAAGCGUGGGGAGCAAACAGGAUUAGAUACCCUGGUAGUCCACGCUGUAAACGAUGGGCACUAGGUGUGGGGGGUGUCGACUCCCUCCGUGCCGAAGCUAACGCAUUAAGUGCCCCGCCUGGGGAGUACGGCCGCAAGGCUA